GAGACGUAGCAGUAGCCAUUCUGGAGAAAAAAAGAAACCAAAUUUUGUGGUAGAUUCUAUAAUUAGCAAACUAAUUAUCGUGAUUAAAGAUCUAAAAAAACUCGAUAGUGAAACCCUGAGUAACUCUGUGAUCAUAGCAAACACAUUAGCAAUUUAAUUUGAUUGCAUACAGAUCUAAUUGGGAAGAAACUAUAAGCAAUGCUUGAACGGAGACAAACCUGGUUCUAGUUCAAUGUCGAUGA